GAUGAACGCUGGCGGCAUGCCUAACACAUGCAAGUCGAACGGUAAGGCCCUUCGGAGUACACGAGAGGCGGACGGCUGAGUAACGCGUAGGAACACACCCUGCAGUGAGGGAUAAGACACCGAAAGGUGUUCUAAUACCGCAUACGGUCUUAGGAUUAAAGCAUUUAUGCGCUGAAGGAGUGGCCUGCGUCAUAUUAGAUAGUUGGUGAGGUAAUGGCUCACCAAGUCGAUGAUGUGUAGCUGGUCUGAGAGGAUGAUCAGCCAGACUGGAACUGAGACACGGUCCAGACUCCUACGGGAGGCAGCAGUGAGGAAUAUUGCACAAUGAGCGAAAGCUUGAUGGAGCAAUGCCGCGUGCAGGAUGAAGGCCUUCGGGUUGUAAACUGCUUUUAUCAGAGAAGAUUAUGACGGUAACUUAUGAAUAAGGGACGGCUAACUACGUG
rnacentral:rRNA from 1 species